AACGAACGCUGGCGGCAUGCCUAACACAUGCAAGUCGAACGAGACCUUCGGGUCUAGUUGCGCACGGGUGCGUAACGCGUGGGAACCUGCCCUUAGGUUCGGAAUAACUCCCCGAAAGGGGUGCUAAUACCGGAUAAUGUCUUCGGACCAAAGAUUUAUCGCCUUUGGAUGGGCCCGCGUUGGAUUAGCUAGUUGGUAGGGUAAAAGCCUACCAAGGCGACGAUCCAUAGCUGGUCUGAGAGGAUGAUCAGCCACACUGGGACUGAGACACGGCCCAGACUCCUACGGGAGGCAGCAGUGGGGAAUAAUGGACAAUGGGCGAAAGCCUGAUCCAGCAAUGCCGCGUGAGUGAUGAAGGCCUUAGGGUUGUAAAGCUCUUUUACCCGGGAUGAUAAUGACAGUACCGGGAGAAUAAGCUCCGGCCAACUCCGUG
rnacentral:rRNA from 1 species